rnacentral:rRNA from 1 species
GAUGAAUGCUGGCGGCGUGCCUAAUACAUGCAAGUCGAGCGGUAACAGGUCUAGUUUACUAGAUGCUGACGAGCGGCGGACGGCUGAGUAACGCGUGGGAAUUUGCCCCAAAGUGAGGGAUAACCGCCCGAAAGGGUGGCUAAUACCGCAUAUGGUCUUCGGAUUAAAGCUUUCGAGCGCUUUGGGAGGAGCCCGCGUCGGAUUAGGUUGUUGGUGAGGUAAUGGCUCACCAAGCCGACGAUCCGUAGCUGGUCUGAGAGGAUGAUCAGCCAAACUGGAACUGAGACACGGUCCAG